GAUGAACGCUGGCGGCGUGCCUAAUACAUGCAAGUCGAGCGAACGGACGAGAAGCUUGCUUCUCUGAUGUUAGCGGCGGACGGGUGAGUAACACGUGGAUAACCUACCUAUAAGACUGGGAUAACUUCGGGAAACCGGAGCUAAUACCGGAUAAUAUUUUGAACCGCAUGGUUCAAAAGUGAAAGACGGUCUUGCUGUCACUUAUAGAUGGAUCCGCGCUGCAUUAGCUAGUUGGUAAGGUAACGGCUUACCAAGGCAACGAUGCAUAGCCGACCUGAGAGGGUGAUCGGCCACACUGGAACUGAGACACGGUCCAGAGUCCUACGGGAGGCAGCAGUAGGGAAUCUUCCGCAAUGGGCGAAAGCCUGACGGAGCAACGCCGCGUGGGUGAUGAAGGUCUUCGGAUCGUAAAACGCUGUUAUUAGGGAAGAACAUAUGUGUAAGUAACUGUGCACAUCUUGACGGGACCUAAUCAGAAAGCCACGGCUAACUACGU
rnacentral:rRNA from 1 species